CCUACGGGUGGCUGCAGUGGGGAAUAGUGGACAAUGGGGGCAACCCUGAUCCAGCCAUGCCGCGUGUGUGAAGAAGGCCCUCGGGUUGUAAAGCACUUUCAGUGAGGAAGAACGCCUGGUGGUUAAUACCCAUCAGGAAAGACAUCACUCACAGAAGAAGCACCGGCUAACUCCGUGCCAGCAGCCGCGGUAAUACGGAGGGUGCGAGCGUUAAUCGGAAUUACUGGGCGUAAAGCGCGCGUAGGUGGCUUGAUAAGCCGGUUGUGAAAGCCCCGGGCUCAACCUGGGAACGGCAUCCGGAACUGUCAAGCUAGAGUGCAGGAGAGGAAGGUAGAAUUCCCGGUGUAGCGGUGAAAUGCGUAGAGAUCGGGAGGAAUACCAGUGGCGAAGGCGGCCUUCUGGACUGACACUGACACUGAGGUGCGAAAGCGUGGGUAGCAAACAGGAUUAGAUACCCUAGUAGUC
rnacentral:rRNA from 1 species